GGAACUAGGUAAGUAAGGAUCAGUUUCAGGUCCUCUGAGUGUGCCAGGCUUGUCUCUACUUUGAUCUCUUUCCAAAGCAGCACUGCUGUCUGUACCUCCAUAGUGUCAAAUCCCACCCUCAGAAAAAUCUUUUCAACCACAGUGGGUGUCUAUAGAAGGACAUGUCACUCUGAUCAGCUCCUGGGUCAAGUUAUUAAUGAAACAAGUGUUCCUGCUCAUUCCAGGUGAAAUGGCACAUUCCAGCAGGCUGAAGCUCUGUCCAUGGAAGCAGGCAGAGGUUUCCUUCCCAUCACUCCUUUGCAUCACAGUUUCUCCAGUGGGACACAAAGACAGACAAUGUUUGUAAAGCUCUUCCUCACCACUCAUUAUGAGCCCGUCCCAAGAAAGGAUUCCUGAUGGGACAUUUCCUGUUCACUUUGUUGUCUUUCUCAUGAGAAUCCACUCUCAGACCCCAUGCCUCCUUGUGGACUCUGACACAUAGUGGCAUCCAACUGGACCCUGACUGAGCAAAGUAAGGAAAAGUCAAGGACAUGAGACAGAACUGGUGGUGAUGAUGUUCGAGGCACAAUCCACAGCCAAUACUCAAGUUGCAAGAACUGCAACAAGAACAAAAAAUACCUAUGUGAUUGCUUGUGGCAAUCCAAAUAAAAAUAAGGCAACAGAUCUCAAGAAUGCAAAGACACUUCAAGAGCUUUACUCCAUUUUGGUUAAUGCAUGUUAAAUUAUACCUAUGGGGUCCUAUUCCUAUGGAAAGCUUUAUUGAAGUGUUAAGCAUAUCUGACACUUAUCAAGAAUGCUUAGGAAUAAUCAAGAUAUAUUGGAUAUUCUGUACAGUUGCCCUCAGAAAACCACUCUGCUAGUGGUGCUUGUGAUUUGAAGUCCUACUGCCACCCACCUUGAGUGAAGAACCCUCUAUAAGAGGAUUUGAGAAAGGAAUAUGUGCUAAGUAGAUGUGGUAAGGAUGCUGUUCAGCUGUGUGGUGGCAUGAUGUGCCUAUGUACUAGGACUCUGCAUCUCUUACUGAGAAACUGGAAGCUUUGGAAACCUAAGAUCUGCUGAAUCCUGCCAUUACUAAUUCACACAUUCUAAGCUUUGAAAUCUCUACCUUUAACUUGGUAACUCUUGUAGAUGCCAAAAGAAACCUAUUCAGACAACAUUUGACCUUAUGGAAAAUAUUCAUGAUUACUUUUUUUAAGCUGUUGGCUGGCUUUGAUAAAAGGAAGGCAAAAAACCCCAAACCAAACCAAACUUAUCAACCUGGUGUCUUGCUCCAAGUUUCAGAAGUCGGUAGACACCAAGAAAUGGAAGACAUAAUUGGGGCAUAAAACCAUUACAGAAAUCAUGUGAGGCAGAAAUAGGAGAGAAAUUUGAUAGGUGUGACAUUAUAAUGUUUUUAAACACAAAAAGAUACCUCCAAAAUCUGAGAAAUAUGGAUUUCCCUGCUCAACAGGACUCAAUAAGUCCUAGAGAAAUUAUCUAUUAGCCACUGAGAAA